ensembl:lncRNA
CUUCUGUAUGCUUCCCAGCCACUAGGCUGUUUAUAGUAUAUAGUAAAUAAUCCAUAUUCAUCUUUACUCUGACCAGAGUGUUAAAUUCAUUUUAAGGAAAGGGUAAUUUACUACAAUGAAAUAAUGUAAUUUCUCAUACAUUCUCAUUUGUUUUAAUUGGAUGCUCUUCACCCUGACACUUGACAGUAUUGAUUUUUAACUUACCAUGAAUGUAUUUCUGUAGCUGACAGAUUGCAACAGCUGUAGCACUUCUGGAAGAGACCAUUUUCAUGAACGUGAUCCAGGCCUGCAUUUUACACACAAACUGCCUUGUUUCAGCUGCGUAUCAGAUUGGUUAGAAGGAAAGAAGGCAACAAGACCUUCAGUAGCUACACUGGGCAACAAAAAUCACAACCCUGGAGAUACAGGGAUGAUUUAGGAUUGGUACAUGUCUUGAUACAUCUUCACUAUGUCUAGGAUUCAGAAUGCAGCUGGAAUAUGGAUCCACACUAAGGACCUUGAAAACACUUGGCAUCUCAAAGCUCAGAUGACAAAGCCUACAGCUUCCUCUGUAUUAUUCAGUGUUACAGCUGAAUGUUCAUUAAAGGAAGGAUUUGUCUCUUUCCUGCACAUGGGAUGCUGUGUUAGUGAUACGGGCAUCAGUGUGGCAGUGACCCUUCCAGCAGACAGCCUUCUUAAUUUAAGGACACCAGUAGAGCCACCCAGGUUCCAGACUGCCGAGAGAAAUUUUGAAGCAAUGUUACGUCAACAUAUAGAAGACCACAAUGUGUCAUCUGCAAAAAAUGCCUUCUCCUUUUAUGCACCAACAGCAUCUGUAAUGGAAAUGAGACUCCUAACUCCUAUGUUUAGGUGGAGAAGAAGGGAGGGGAGAAUGAAUCCACAAGGCAGUUUCAUUAUUCAAAAGGAAGCAGCAGUACUCUGGGCUGCUGCUCACAGCCUACGGAGUGAGGAGCUGCUCAGCUCCAUCAGAAGGGGCACUGGCAACAGUGGACUCCUGGCUGAGCCCUUGCUCUGUCUCUUCCCUUCUGUGGCCUCCUCACCUCCCGGGACACUGCCGCACUUGCAGCAUCUCCACAUCUGCUCUGCUUGUCUGUUGAGAAAUUAAACCAUGGUUGUUGGAUAAGUGCAAAAUGAAAUGCAAUCUGAUAGUGAGUAAUUCUGCUGUUGUUAGCCUGUUUGUGGUUGGUUGCUUUUUUUUAUUUCCCAGUCAUACAGAAGUCUUGCUACUGAAAUAAGCGAGGGCCCCAUACAUCUGGCUUUGUGUUUUUAUUUCUAUUGUGGGAACUGUAAUUUCUGUAAAAUUUCACUCUAUAAAGUAUACUGAUGGAUUUUUCCAGUACAGGGAUACCCACAAAUGACAGAAAUGUGAACUGACCUCACAGGACUGGAAUCUGACUUCUACAUUCACUGAAAAAUUGAGUCAAGCAAAAAGGAUCUUAUGUUUUAAUCCAUGCUGACUAAACAAAUAUUUUUCAGAUGACAUUUUAUAUACAUUCUACUGUAAUUCUGGUCCUCAAAGUUCCAAGGAACACUAAUCAUAGAGGGGCUUUAAAAACCCUUAUUAACAAUUUAAUUUCUCCAAGGUAUUUAAUCUAGGCUUUUUAAUACUUCUUUUGACUUUUUCUUUCCUUUCCUGUGCAACUAUGUAAUUCAGCUCCUUAAAAUGAUUUUUGGGAUGCUGCACUUUUAACCUUUCUCCUCACCAUGAAAAGUAGCUUAAUCUUAUUCUGUGUUUCCAGAAGCCACCCUGGAGCUCACAGACAGCAGCCUCAACUCCCCAGUUUACUAAUGUACACGCUUAAGCACCACUCUGCCACUAGAGAAAUGUAGUCAGAGUGAACUAAAACACACAAAAGAUGUUCUCCAGGCAAUACCUGGCUGGACAUCCUCAUGCCUAGUGGCAGGUCCUACAUCAGACCCACCAGCACAUCACAGCAUCCAGCCAUCCUUUCCUACCUCCUGCGCUGCUCCACCACUCCCCAUCCCCAGAGUGAGCUGCAUGCUAUGGUAUUCCUUUGAAGAAGGGCACUCCAGGGAGCCCAACCCAUCCCGCUGACAUUUUCUGCCUUCUGCCCUGCUGUACCAUGCUCUGCAGGGCCUGGAUCCUUGAGGUACAAUUAUUCUUUCUUAACUCUUCUGGCAGCAAAUCUCCAGAAUCAUCAUUACUUCCAAACACAGACAAGCAUCUCCCUGCUUAUUUCCUUCUUAUCAAACAGUGAAAUGUAUCCCUUUUAUUACAAAUAAAUGCAAAUAUUUAUUACCA